GACGAACGCUGGCGGCGUGCCUAAUACAUGCAAGUAGAACGCUGAAGCUUGGUGCUUGCACCGAGCGGAUGAGGCGCGAACGGGUGAGUAACGCGUAGGUAACCUGCCUGGUAGCGGGGGAUAACUAUGGGAAACGAUAGCUAAUACCGCAUAAGAGUAGAUGUUGCAGGACAUUUGCUUAAAAGGUGCAAUUGCAUCACUACCAGAUGGACCUUCGUUGUAUUAGCUAGUUGGUGAGGUAACGGCUCACCAAGGCAACGAUGCAUAGCCGACCUGAGAGGGUGAUCGGCCACCCUGGGACUGAGACACGGCCCAGACUCCUACGGGAGGCAGCAGUAGGGAAUCUUCGGCAAUGGACGGAAGUCUUACCGCGCAACGCCGCGUGAGUGAAGAAGGUUUUCGGGUCGUAAAGCUCUGUUGUAAGAGAAGAACGAGUGUGAGAGUGGAAAGUUCACACUGUGACGGUAUCUUACCAGAAAGGGACGGCUAACUACGUG
rnacentral:rRNA from 1 species